rnacentral:rRNA from 1 species
UACAGGAUUCCCAUAGUAACGGCGAGUGCUGUGGGAAGAGCUCAAAUUUGGAAUCUGGCCCGAAGGGGUCCGAAUUGUAUUCUAGAGAGGUGUUGUGGCACACGGCGCAUUGCACAAGUGUCCUGGAAUGGACCAUCACAGAGGGUGAGAAUCCCGUUUGGGCAGUGCAAGGUGGGCAGAGGAGACACACUCAAAGAGUCAGUUU